GACGUAGGGCGCGAGCGUUGUCCGGAUUUAUUGGGCGUAAAGAGCUCGUAGGCGGCUUGUCGCGUCGACUGUGAAAACCCGCGGCUCAACUGCGGGCCUGCAGUCGAUACGGGCAGACUGGAGUUCGGCAGGGGAGACUGGAAUUCCUGGUGUAGCGGUGAAAUGCGCAGAUAUCAGGAGGAACACCGGUGACGAAGGCGGGUCUCUGGGCCGAUACUGACGCUGAGGAGCGAAAGCGUGGGGAGCGAACAGG
rnacentral:rRNA from 1 species